rnacentral:rRNA from 1 species
GAUGAACGCUAGCUACAGGCUUAACACAUGCCAGUCGCAGGGUAACAUGAGGAAAGCUUGCUUUCCUUGAUGACGACUGGCGCACGGGUGAGUAACGCGUAUCCAACCUUCCCAUAACUACGGGAUAACCCGUUGAAAGACGGCCUAAUACCGUAUGAUAUCGUUUGCUGACAUCAAAUAACGAUUAAAGGUUUAGCGGUUAUGGAUGGGGAUGCGUCUGAUUAGCUUGUUGGCGGGGUAACGGCCCACCAAGGCGACGAUCAGUAGGGGUUCUGAGAGGAAGGUCCCCCACAUUGGAACUGAGACACGGUCCAAACUCCUACGGGAGGCAGCAGUGAGGAAGAUUGGUGAAUGGGCGAGAGCCUGAACCAGCCAAGUAGCGUGCAGGACGACGGCCCUAUGGGUUGUAAACUGCUUUUAUGUGGGGAUAAAGUGCGUGACGUGUCAUGCAUUGCAGGUACCACAUGAAUAAGGACCGGCUAAUUCCGUG